CACAGAGCUCUUCCUGUGACAAAAACGACUGCAUUGUCCGAUUGAGACCAGCAUGGUAUUCUCCAACAGACAAUGAAGGAUAUACGACACCUUUCUACGUAUAUUACUGAGAGAUAUAUUCGGUUUUAAACUAUAUAAACCAGCGAGAUAGAGAGAGUACGGCAGCUAAGAAAGCAUGUUCCCGCGAGACUUUGCGUGGGGAGCGGCAACAUCUGCGUACCAAAUAGAAGGUGGAUGGCAAACUGAUGGAAAGGGACCAAGCAUUUGGGACACAUUUUGUCAUGAAAAAGGUCGAGUUUUUGGAAAUCAAAAUGGAGAUGUGGCCUGUAACAGCUAUGAGCUGUGGGAGAAAGACCUGGAAUGCAUCCAACAGCUUGGCCUGACGCACUAUCGCCUGUCUCUGUCUUGGGCACGCCUCCUGCCUGAUGGGACGACGCGAAAUGUCAACCAGAGAGGCGUGCAGUACUACAACAGAGUGAUAGAUGACUUGCUGGCAUGCAAUGUAUCCCCAAUGGUCACUCUGUACCACUUUGACCUGCCCCAAGCAAUUCAAGACCUUGGAGGAUGGAAAUCACCUGGUAUAGCAACUCUCUUCGAUAACUACGCCAAGUUUUGCUUCCAGACGUUUGGGGAUCGGGUCAAACUCUGGAUCACCAUCAAUGAGCCACAAGUUUGUGCCAAACUAGGUCACGAAGUUGGUAUCCAUGCCCCGGGGCUGAAAGAAAAAGGCACCGCUGCUUACCUGGUGGGGCACAACAUGCUGCGAGCUCACGCCAUGGCUUGGCACAGCUACAACUCCACGUACAGGAUAACGCAGAAUGGUGCAGUGUCUUUGGCCCUCAACAGCGACUGGCUUGAGCCUUUAGAGCCAGGUCGUAGUGAGGACAUCACCUCUGCUGAACGUGACCUCAUCUUCACUCUGGGGUGGUUUGCCUGGCCUGUGUUUGUUACCGGAGAUUAUCCAGAAUUGAUGAGAUUUUCCAUAGAAACUCAGUCCAAGAUGAUGGGAUACAGUGAUGACUUGAGGCUCCCCAGGUUUUCAAUCGAUGACCCUCCCAUUUUAGGAACUGCUGACUUCUUUGCACUGAACUAUUACACAUCCCGGAAGGUCAAGUCAGGCGGAUGCAACGAUCAGAUGUUGAGUAUGAAGAGGGACUUGGAUGCAGAAGAGGUUUUAGAUCCAUCCUGGCCCAUUUGUGGGGUGUCAUGGUUGGCUGUUGUUCCAAAUGGCUUAAGGAAACUUCUUAAAUAUAUAAAGGAUGUCUUCAACAACCCGACAAUCUACAUUACGGAGAAUGGUUUCGCUCAGGUCGGCCGGCUGCAAAUUGAGGAUGUUGAACGAUGCAAGUUUUACAAAAGCACCAUUUUGGAAGUGGCUAAAGGUAGUAUUGACAAUUGCUCUGCAGUGAAGAAAACAUUUUUCAAACCAGUGAAAAAAAAAGUGAAUUGGAGGAGUUUAGGUUGUGGUUGUCCAACAUGGAAAUUAUGUUUCAGAGUAAAUCUUGCACAGACUUUUCAAGUAUUCCCCAGUAAGUGCUUACACACUGUAGUAACAGUAUACUUGAACUCAGUUUAGUUUUAGUUUUUGUUGAAAGCUGAAGAUCUUAGCAUACUUCUUUAGCAACACCCAGAAUUCACAUGAUUACAUUUUUUCAAUGUCUUGUGCUGAUUUAUUGAAAUUAGGGCAGCCAAUGGUCAGUAUAUUUGUUUUUUUAUUCGCUUUUGAUCCAUAACUAUAAGAUGUUUAGAUCUAUACAAUCAUAAAAGAACAAAAAAAGUACACCCUUUUAUGCAUCAUUGCUUUGGUCUUCACCUCACCAUAUUUGGAUCUAAUUUCAAGUGUAAACCCCUUUGUCUUUAUUAAGUAAAGACAAAGUACUUCUUAAAAAAAAGAAAUUUGGAACAAAGUUUUAAACACAUUUAGAUUUUUGGGGGGGUGUUUCUUCUUUUUACCUUGACAGUACUUGUUCUUCCCUCUGCAGCAGUUUAUCGAAGGUUUUCUUUAGGUGGAGUUCUACAUUUUCUUUUAAACAGAAUUUCUUGAAUAAGCAAUACAUUUAUGAGGUUGUGGAACAGAAGAAUUAAGCUUGAUGCCAGUAACUGGCCUGUGCCUAGUCCAGGGCUAUAGAAGAGGAUGAGGUCAACGUCCGUGGGUAUUUUGCAUGGUCACUGAUGGACAACUUUGAAUGGGCAGAUGGAUUCAGCGUUCGUUUCGGCCUGUUCCAUGUCGACAUUUCCGAUCCCGAGCUGAGACGAACCAUUUACCAGUCUGGGAGGGAAUAUGCGAAGAUCAUCUCAAAAU